GCGUAGGUGGUGCAACGGUUAGCACACGCUCCUGCAAAGACUGGGAUCUGGGUUUGAAUCUCGGCUGAGGCG